rnacentral:rRNA from 1 species
UACGUAGGGUGCAAGCGUUAAUCGGAAUUACUGGGCGUAAAGCGUGCGCAGGCGGCUGUGCAAGACAGAUGUGAAAUCCCCGGGCUCAACCUGGGAACUGCAUUUGUGACUGCACGGCUGGAGUGCGGCAGAGGGGGAUGGAAUUCCGCGUGUAGCAGUGAAAUGCGUAGAUAUGCGGAGGAACACCGAUGGCGAAGGCAAUCCCCUGGGCCUGCACUGACGCUCAUGCACGAAAGCGUGGGGAGCAAACAGG